rnacentral:rRNA from 1 species
AUUGAACGCUGGCGGCAGGCCUAACACAUGCAAGUCGAACGAGUGGCGGACGGGUGAGUAAUUUCUGAGAAACUGCCUGAUGGAGGGGGAUAACUACUGGAAACGGUAGCUACUCCCGCAUACCAUCGGAUGUGCCCAGAUGGGAUUAGCUAGUCGGUGGGGGAAAGGCGAACCUAGGCGACGAUCCCUAGCUGGGCUGAGAGGAUGAACGGCCACACGGGAACGGAGACACGGUCCAGACUCCUACGGGAGGCAGCAGUGGGGAAUAUUGCACAAUGGGCGCAAGCCUGAUGCAGCCAUGCCGCGUGUAUGAAGAAGGCCUUCGGGUCGUAAAGUACUUUCAGCGGGGAGGCGUUACCCGCAGAAGAAGCACCGGCUAACUCCGUGCCAGCAGCCGCGGUAAUAC